rnacentral:rRNA from 1 species
CGUCUAUAUACGUAUAGCAUAUCAAUAAGCGGAGGAAAAGAAACUAACUAGGAUUCCCUCAGUAACGGCGAGUGAAGCGGGAAGAGCUCAAAUUUGAAAUCUUCAAGGUUCUACCUUGACGAAUUGUAGUUUAAAGAAGUGUUUUCUGUUGGAGUUUUGGUAUAAGUUCUUUGGAAUAGGACAUCAUAGAGGGUGAGAAUCCCGUACUGACCAUUAUUUCCAGCUCUGUGAUACACUUUCAAAGAGUCGGAUUGUUUGGGAAUGCAGUCCAAAAUGGGUGGUAAAUUUCAUCUAAAGCUAAAUAUUGGCGAGAGACCGAUAGCGAACAAGUACCGUGAGGGAAAGAUGAAAAGAACUUUGAAAAGAGAGUUAAACAGUACGUGAAAUUGUCAAAAGGAGGCGUUUGACACCAGUGUUGUUUUCUCGAAAAUCAAUUAAAAAAGGCCGGAUUUUGUGUUGUAUUGACUUUAUCAAGCUUUCUUCACUCUUUUCAUUGUCUUUUUUAAUGCACUUUUCGUUUAACAAGUCAACAUCAGUUUCUUUUGUUGUAAAAGGGUCAUUGGAAGGUGGCUUUCUUUUCGGAGAAAGUGUUUAUAGCCUUUGGCCUCUGCAAUCGGAGAGAUUGAGGUCUGCAGCGUAGAUCCUUCGGGGUUAGAUACAUUUGUGCUAAGUUAUAGCCUUUCAUAGACAACUUGUUGACUAUGAUCAGUCAUGUAGCUUACUCGCUUAUGUCUAUUUUACCUACGCUUAGGAUGUUGAAGUCAUCGUAUCGCGC